GGAAGAAACAAGGCCGCGGCCUGAAUGGAGCCUCUUCUUUGGGGGCGCUUCUCCUUCGCUUUCCUCCCCUUGCCCCUAAAAGCCACGAAACACGGGGGGCUUGCAAUUGUAAGGGUAGUGGGGGCCCUGCGUGCUUCGGGGUCCGGCCGUGGGCCUGGCAUCGGCUUAAGACAUCUCCCCCUGGGGGGGGGGCUUUUGCAAUAACGGCCAUAAUUAGUUGCCCCCCCCCCAAAAAACCCCAUCGCCAUCUGUCCUUUGCUGGGUGGCAGAAAGUAAGGUUGCCCGUGGUUACAAGAAUGAAAAUGGAAGCAGGCCACUUACCAUUUCCCUCCUCUUCUGUGAAGCAGAAAUGAAAAGAGCGCACAUACCUAGCUCGUGCGGGAAUUCUUCACAGAGAAUGGCCACCGAGGUGCUGAUGCCCUGGAAGACCGAGACGGUGAAGGAGGCGCCAAUUGCCAGC